ensembl:rRNA 5S_rRNA 5S ribosomal RNA
GUCUACAGCCAGACCACCCUGAACACACCCGAUCUCUCCUAAUCUUGGAAGCUAAGAAGAGUUGGGCCUGGUUAGUACUUGGAUGGUACAGGCAGAGACAGAAAGAGGGUGGUUACUGCCC